rnacentral:rRNA from 1 species
AUUGAACGCUGGCGGCAGGCCUAACACAUGCAAGUCGAGCGGAGCGGCGGACGGGUGAGUAACGCGUAGCAACCUGCCUAUGACAGUGGGAUAGCCUCGGGAAACCGGGAUUAAUACCGCAUAGUCAUAGAUGGGCUAGCGUCUGAUUAGCUAGUUGGUGAGAUAACAGCCCACCAAGGCGACGAUCAGUAGCCGGUCUGAGAGGAUGAUCAGUCACACUGGAACUGAGACACGGUCCAGACUCCUACGGGAGGCAGCAGUGGGGAAUAUUGGACAAUGGGCGAAAGCCUGAUCCAGCCAUGCCGCGUGUGUGAAGAAGGUCUUCGGAUUGUAAAGCACUUUAAGUUGGGAGGCGUUACCAACAGAAUAAGCACCGGCUAACUCCGUGCCAGCAGCCGCGGUAAUUC